rnacentral:misc_RNA from 1 species
GAGAUUGAAGAAACUCAAAUCAUGGAGUUUAUAAAAAUUGAAGAUUUGUUCCAAUAGAUGCAAAGGAUAAUGUGAAGUUCUUUUGUUCAUGUCAACUCUACUGAUACUAUUCAAGAGGAAGCCAUGAUGUGAUAUUCCAAUGGAGUUUUUAAUUCUUCAACACUUUGAAAUUCGAGGUUAAAUUUUCUCGAAAGUGUAGGUGAAUGACGCAGUGCGCAAAUGAAUAUUAGAUCAGAAGACUUUUGUUAUCCUAUUUUCACAAGGACUUAUUUUCUUAGAUAAAUUUUAUUUAUAUUUU